GUGCCCUUGGCCGAUCGGCAAAGGUGUCAGCCUUCCAAGCUGAACAGGUGGGUUCGAUUCCCACAGGGCACU
rnacentral:tRNA from 1 species